AGAACGAACGCUGGCGGCAUGCCUAACACAUGCAAGUCGAACGCUCUUGGGGUUUCGGCUCCGAGGGAGUGGCGCACGGGUGAGUAGCGCGUGGGAACCUGUCCUGUUGUGGGGGAUAACCGAGGGAAACUUCGGCUAAUACCGCAUGCGCCCCGGGCAACCGGGGGAAAGAUUUAUCGCAGCAGGAGGGGCCCGCGUCGGAUUAGCUAGUUGGCGGGGUAACGGCCCACCAAGGCGAUGAUCCGUAGCUGGUCUGAGAGGAUGAUCAGCCACACUGGGACUGAGACACGGCCCAGACUCCUACGGGAGGCAGCAGUGGGGAAUAUUGGACAAUGGGCGCAAGCCUGAUCCAGCAAUGCCGCGUGAGUGAUGAAGGCCUUCGGGUUGUAAAGCUCUUUGGCGGGGACGAUGAUGACGGUACCCGCAGAAGAAGCCCGGCUAACUUCGUGCCAGCAGCCGC
rnacentral:rRNA from 1 species